GAUGAACGCUAGCGGCAGGCUUAACACAUGCAAGUCGAGGGGUAUAGUUCUUCGGAACUAGAGACCGGCGCACGGGUGCGUAACGCGUAUGCAAUCUACCUUUUGCAGAGGGAUAGCCCAGAGAAAUUUGGAUUAAUACCUCAUAGUAUGUGAGAAUGGCAUCAUUUUCACAUUAAAGUCACAACGGCAAAAGAUGAGCAUGCGUCCCAUUAGCUAGUUGGUAAGGUAACGGCUUACCAAGGCAACGAUGGGUAGGGGUCCUGAGAGGGAGAUCCCCCACACGGGUACUGAGACACGGGCCAGACUCCUACGGGAGGCAGCAGUGAGGAAUAUUGGACAAUGGGCGCAAGCCUGAUCCAGCCAUGCCGCGUGCAGGAUGACGGUCCUAUGGAUUGUAAACUGCUUUUGUACAGGAAGAAACACUGGUUCGUGAACCAGCUUGACGGUACUGUAAGAAUAAGGAUCGGCUAACCCCGUGCCAGCCGCCGCUGUAACAC
rnacentral:rRNA from 1 species